rnacentral:tRNA from 1 species
CAUUUACUAGCUCAGUUGGUAGAGCUCAAGGCUCUUAACCUCAGGGUUGUGGGUUUGAGCCCCAUGUUGGGUGA